AGAGUUUGAUCCUGGCUCAGAUUGAACGCUGGCGGCAGGCUUAACACAUGCAAGUCGAGCGGUAACAGAGAUAGCUUGCUAUCUGCUGACGAGCGGCGGACGGGUGAGUAAUGCUUGGGAAUAUGCCUUAUGGUGGGGGACAACAGUUGGAAACGACUGCUAAUACCGCAUAACGUCUACGGACCAAAGGGGGGGAUCUUCGGACCUCUCGCCAUUUGAUUAGCCCGAGUGAGAUUAGCUAGUUGGUGAGGUAAAGGCUCACCAAGGCGACGAUCUCUAGCUGGUUUGAGAGGAUGAUCAGCCACACUGGGACUGAGACACGGCCCAGACUCCUACGGNAGNCANCAGUGGGGAAUAUUGCACAAUGGGCGAAAGCCUGAUGCAGCCAUGCCGCGUGUGUGAAGAAGGCCUUCGGGUUGUAAAGCACUUUCAGUUGUGAGGAAAGGGGUGUAGUUAAUAUCUGCAUUC
rnacentral:rRNA from 1 species